CAUAGAGAGGGAGUCCUGUCACCACCUUCUGUGGGAAGACACAACUUCCAUCGCUACUGCUGGACACAGGUACCGUAUGCCAUACUGACAGACUGCCAUUCUGCACCAGUUCUACCCUGUCCUCGCUCCCUUGCUGUCUCUUUAAAUGCCUGUUACCGCUGCACCAGGAGAAUGAGGCUCAGCUGGCUCUAGCUUCAAGGCAUUCACUGAUGCCCAGAUCUGUUUACGCUGGACAAUGACUGCCCAUCCCAUUCCUGGUAAUGAUUGGCAGCUUUUCUCUGUAGUGCAGAAAACCAGGCGUGUUUCCUUGUUCGUGACCUGUCAGCCCUUCAGUGUAACUCCAGGGUCUAGAGUGGCCCCUGGGCCCAGGUCAGUCACCGUCUGUAACAGUGGAUUGACACUUGGAGGGAUGUGCCAUCAACCAGCAGCAAGGACGUGACCACUGAAUGAAGAUUCCAGGAAAGAAGUGCCUGCCAAGGCUGGCCGACUGAUGGCUCUGACAGAUAGCUCUAAGAAAACUGCAGGGCUGUGGAGAGAUUAGAAUGUGGCUGGUCCAGAGCCUAAGUACAACUUUUUUGGGGCUAGCUUUAGCCCACCUCCUUGGGCUAGACUUAAUAUCCUACAACUAACACAUAAGCUGAGAUUUCUCCUCUUGGCUAUCUUCUGUCUCUGUUUCCACCAAUGUAGCUGAAAAGUAUUUUAAGACUGUUCUGUUACUAUAAAAACUUAUGAAACUGCUUCCAUGUAGGAACACAGUGUUUGGUAUGACCUAAAUCUAUGUGUCUCUGGUCACUAGCUCCAGAAUCAACAUCUCCCUCUGAGGUGAGAGCCCUGUGUAUGUGCUGACAGUUGUGAUACCUAAGUGUGGGCCACGAACCAUCAUCUGCUUUUCACCAGAGUCACUUGUGUGGAAGAGAGGUGCCGGCAGGGACCCACUGAAUAUGUCUGAGAGCACUUCGUUGUCUAUUUGGUUUCCUCUGCCUUUGGCAUACUUCGAUUUGCUGCCAUUUGACGAUGUCUCCUGACUCCUCAAACACCCAAUUCUGCUUCUCGCAGCCUUGCUGCCUUCAGCACCUGGCAGUAAAGAGGACCAGAGUUUGAUUCCCAGCAUCCACAUGGCAGCUCACAACCAUCUGUGACUUCAGUUCCAGGGGAUCUAAUGCCCACUUCUGACUUCUGUGGACACCAGGCAUGUACAUGGUACAUGAAGGUACAUACAUACACCAAGGCAAAACCCACAUAAAAAUAAAAUUAAUAAACUGAGUAAUUUUUUGAGACAUGGUUUCUCUGUGUGGCCCUGGCUGUCCUGGAA